GCUGCAACUGUUUAUUAAAAACACAGCACUGUGCAAAAUCGUAAGAUGACGUAUACGGUGUGACGCCUGCCCGGUGCCGGAAGGUUAAUUGAUGGGGUUAGACUUCGGUCGAAGCUCUUGAUCGAAGCCCCGGUAAACGGCGGCCGUAACUAUAACGGUCCUAAGGUAGCGAAAUUCCUUGUCGGGUAAGUUCCGACCUGCACGAAUGGCGUAAUGAUGGCCACGCUGUCUCCACCCGAGACUCAGUGAAAUUGAAAUCGCUGUGAAGAUGCAGUGUACCCGCGGCUAGACGGAAAGACCCCGUGAACCUUUACUACAGCUUGGCACUGAACAUUGACCCUACAUGUGUAGGAUAGGUGGGAGGCUUUGAAGCACGUACGCCAGUAUGUGUGGAGCCGUCCUUGAAAUACCACCCUUGUAGUGUUGAUGUUCUAACGUUGACCCCUAAUCGGGGUUGCGGACAGUGCCUGGUGGGUAGUUUGACUGGGGCGGUCUCCUCCCAAAGAGUAACGGAGGAGCACGAAGGUGGGCUAAUCACGGUUGGACAUCGUGAGGUUAGUGCAAUGGCAUAAGCCCGCUUGACUGCGAGAAUGACAAUUCGAGCAGGUGCGAAAGCAGGUCAUAGUGAUCCGGUGGUUCUGAAUGGAAGGGCCAUCGCUCAACGGAUAAAAGGUACUCCGGGGAUAACAGGCUGAUACCGCCCAAGAGUUCAUAUCGACGGCGGUGUUUGGCACCUCGAUGUCGGCUCAUCACAUCCUGGGGCUGAAGUCGGUCCCAAGGGUAUGGCUGUUCGCCAUUUAAAGUGGUACGCGAGCUGGGUUUAGAACGUCGUGAGACAGUUCGGUCCCUAUCUGCCGUGGGCGUUGGAAGAUUGAAGGGGGCUGCUCCUAGUACGAGAGGACCGGAGUGGACGAACCUCUGGUGUUCGGGUUGUGUCGCCAGACGCAUUGCCCGGUAGCUAAGUUCGGAAUCGAUAACCGCUGAAAGCAUCUAAGCGGGAAGCGAGCCCUGAGAUGAGUCUUCCCUGAUACUUUAAGUAUCCUAAAGGGUUGUCGGAGACUACGACGUUGAUAGGUCAGGUGUGUAAGUGCUGUGAGGCAUUGAGCUAACUGAUACUAAUUGCCCGUGAGGCUUAACCAU
rnacentral:rRNA from 1 species